rnacentral:rRNA from 1 species
GACGAACGCUGGCGGCGUGCCUAAUACAUGCAAGUCGAACGCAGUGGGGACGGGUGAGUAACACGUGGGUAACCUCCCAUCAGAGGGGAUAACACUUGGAAACAGGUGCUAAACCGAUACUGAUGGAUGGACCCGCGGUGCAUUGGCUAGUAGGUGGGGUAAAGGCUCACCUAGGCGACGAACUCUAGAUGUUUGGAGAGGAUGAUCAGCCACACUGGGAUGGAGACAUGGCCCAGACUCCUACGGGAGGCAGCAGUGGGGAAUAUUGCACAAUGGGAGCAAGCCUGAUGCAGCCAUGCCGCGUGUAUGAAGAAGGCCUUAGGGUUGUAAAGUACUUUCAGCGGGGAGGCGUUACCCGCAGAAGAAGCACCGGCUAACUCCGUGCCAGCAGCCACGGUAAUAC